AUAAGAGUGAACCCGUCUCUGUGGCAAAAGGGUGGGAAGACCUUGCAGUAGUGGUGAAAAGCCAAACGAGCCUAGUGAUAGCUGGUUGCUCAACAAACGAAUCUCAGUUCGACUUUAGGUUUGCCCCUUAUACUAAAACCCUACUUUAACCUAAAAGCUACUCAACGGGGGUACAGCCCCAUUGAGAAGGGAUACAACCCAAAUUAGAGAGAAAGAAACAUCACCCACCCCAGUAGGCCUUAAAGCCGCCACCAAUAACAAAAGCGUCAUAGCACUAAACAACAAAUACCAAAAGAUCAGCCAAACUCCUGAUUAAACAUUGAGCCAGACUAUAACUAUAGACGAACUUAUGCUAAAACUAGUAACAAGAAACCCUUCUCUCGGCAUCCCUGUAACCCAGAAAUAGAAAAACUACUGGACUUUAACAGACCAAAACAGGUAUAACACAAUCUGUACCACUCACUGUUAAACCGACACCGGAGUGCCACCAAGACAGAUUAAAAGUUAUUUAAGGAACUCAGCAAAACUUGUCCCAACUGUUUACCAAAAACAUAGCCUUUAGCUAUACAAGUAUUAAAGGUCCCGCCUGCCCAGUG
rnacentral:rRNA from 1 species